UACGAAGGGGGCGAGCGUUGUUCGGAAUCACUGGGCGUAAAGGGCGCGUAGGCGGCCCUCUUAGUCGCGUGUGAAAGCCCCGGGCUCAACCUGGGAACGGCGCGCGAAACGGGAGGGCUGGAGUUCGGGAGAGGAGAGUGGAAUUCAUGGUGUAGCAGUGAAAUGCGUAGAGAUCAUGAGGAAGACCAGUGGCGAAGGCGGGUCUCUGGACAGUUCCUGACACUGAGACACGAAGGCCAGGGGAGCAAACGGG
rnacentral:rRNA from 1 species